GUGUCAUGCAAGAAGGAGGCGGCGGCGGCGGCCGGAGCUGGAGGGGGAGGAGGGGAGGAACCUGAUCCUCGGUAGCGAAGGGCUGGAGGCAAACACCGAGCUCCCCCUGAGCCGCCUGGGAGCAGGGAGGGUUCUGCUACCCUGAGGGGCCCUCCCCGCGGGGCAGAGGGUGGGAGGAAGUCACAGCAUCUACUUCUGAAUCUGUGCUUGCCUUGAGGAAAAACGGCAUGGCACAGGAAUGUGGACGCUUUCAACCAGAGGAUUCUGUACGACGGUGUCGGCACACAAGGAGUGUUCCACUGACUGACCUCUUUUUGUUUUCAAAUGAAGAGGAGCCAAGAAUAGGACAGCUUGGGAAGGUGAGCUGCGUAUAGCUCGUCAGGCUGAGCUCAUCCUCGUCUACGGCCAAACGUUGGUUUCUCAUUUCUAGAAGAUGAAAGAUGUGAUGACUCAGGAAAAACUGGAAUCUUAGUAACUGUGGUGGGCAUUGAGCCUUGCCGUCCACAAGAGAAAGCUUGCUGCUCGAGAUGUGAGUCUUCAGAUGUUCCUGCCGCCAUAUCUGACAGCUGCUGCCAAGAUUCCCUGGUGGGAUGGACUCUUAUACCUCAACAACCAGAAGCCCAAGUAAACUCUUCUAUAAAUUGAAUGACUCAUGCUUAAAAAAAAAAACAAAAAACAAACUAUCUU
rnacentral:lncRNA from 1 species